GGGCGGUUAGCUCAAUUGGUAGAGCGCUACAUUGACGUUGUAGAUGUUAUAGGUUCGAGUCCUAUACCGCCCA
rfam:Candidatus Yanofskybacteria bacterium RIFCSPHIGHO2_02_FTLL_39_10 rifcsphigho2_02_scaffold_45880, whole genome shotgun sequence.